rnacentral:rRNA from 1 species
UACGGGGGGAGCAAGCGUUGUUCGGAUUUACUGGGCGUAAAGGGCGCGUAGGCGGCCAGCACAAGUCAGUGGUGAAAUCUCCGGGCUUAACUCGGAAAGGUCAACUGAUACUGUGCGGCUAGAGUGCAGAAGGGGCAACUGGAAUUCUCGGUGUAGCGGUGAAAUGCGCAGAUAUCAGGAGGAACACCGGUGGCGAAGGCGGGUCUCUGGGCCGAUACUGACGCUGAGGAGCGAAAGCGUGGGGAGCGAACAGG